rnacentral:lncRNA from 1 species
GGCUGCACCUGUGGCAUACGGAGGUUCCCAGACUAGGGGUUGAAUUAGAGCUGCAGCUGCCAGCCUACACCACAGCCACAGCAAUGCAGGAUCUGAGCCAUAUCUGUGACCUACACCACAGUUCAUGGCAAUGCCAGAUCCUCAACCCACUGAUUGAGACCAGAGAUUGAACCCACACCCUCAUGGAUACUAGUCAGGUUUAUCACCACUGACUCACAACAGGAAUUUUGAAGAUGGCACUUUGGUCCACCCAACUGUGCCCGGAGGCUGCCCUGAGCCUGAGGGAGAGCCACUAAGGUUCUCGCUGCUGUAGCAUUCCCUUCACUUUUGUAGAUACCACCUUGGAUGGGGUCGCGGGGAGUCUGUGUGUGACUGACUGUCCUUAAUGCCCAGUUGUUGGCCCAGGCUCCUGCUAAGGGUGGGGACGUCUGCUUCAGGGAAGACUGGACAGAGCUCCUCGAUCCUCCCCCCAUCCCCAUCCCUUCAGGCCCCUCCGAGGACCACCUAGGCCCAGGAGUUGUAGGGCCUGAGGUUGGGGCCAGCCUAGAAUCACAGGGUUGGGGAGACCUUAGGAGUCACCAGCACCUUCGUGUUGAGGAUGAGGAAACUGAAGGGCAGGAAGGUGAAGUUACCCCAAGUCCCACAGUUUGUUGGUGACAUAGCCAGAGCACAGUGACACCUGUGCUUUCUGAGAUGUAAGGGACCAUCACCAACACUACCUCCGUGAGCUUCCCAACAGCGGAAGAGGGGGAUCACCCUGUCCUCUCACAGGAGGGAAGAGUUCUGUCCGGUGCUCUGAGACCAGACUUCUUGGUCCUGCCUGGGUUGCAGUAUUGCUUGGAGAGGUGCUGAUGGGCCAGAAGGAUAUGGGCCCAGGUUCCAGACCAGCACUGCCAAGAUCUUUUUUGGGGAUAUCUCUGUCCCUUUCUGUACCUCAGGGUCUUGUUCACCUCAAGGACAUGCAUACAAAGUGGGCAGUUAAGCCCGUAGAGGCUGAAAAUUAUAAAGUCUUUUAAGUCUUGAAAAGGACCAAGAGCUGCCUUGUACUUUGCAGCCUAUAAUGGGGUUUGGGGAUGAAGAAUGGAAGGGGAUGUUUUGGGCAGAGAAGGACCUGCCCCCAGAUGCUCAUGAUUCUCAGGCUCAUUCUGUUUUUCUCCUGUUCCUUCCAGCCUUGUAAUCUAUGUUUCUAAGACGAAACAUUCUGUUUUCUGAAUUAUAACCUUUCUAAUGAAGGGGUUGAGCUAGUGGCUCCAAGAAAAAAAAUAAAUCACAGGAGUUAUUUGAUUCUGCAUCUGCACAUUCCCCAACUGAUGUUGAGAUCUGAAAAAAAGUGGCUGGAAUCCACAGUCCACUUGGGUUGUUCACUUGACACAGCCCACCUGCCAGCAGGCUUCCCCCAAGAACUAGUCAGCCGGCCCCUGCAGAGUCACACGUGUCUUUAAAAACAUCCCAACGAAAACCAAGCUAAAGCUAAGUAAGCCAUAGCGUCCAGGACAGAGCUUCUCUCUUAUCACAGAGAAGUAAUUGCCUGCUUGCCUUUGUCCUAAUACAGCGAGCAGCCUCCCCUCACAACACCCCUCAUCUCUGGAAUGUCCUUUAAAGGCAAAGGGAGCAAUUUAUGUGGCCCUGCUAACUAGGGCUUAUGGAUUGUUGGGGUGAAGGCAGAACUGGACCUUCCACAACAAACAUUUUCAUUCUGGAAGCAGCCCUUGUCCUAACACGGCUCUGGCUUCCUGUGACGCCCGUUCAUAAAUGAUUCAGGCCCUACUUUUUGCAGAGCAUUAAAGCUCUCUCCUUCCUUCACUCAGGAGCACAAACAGCAGCCUGAUGCUGGAAUUUAAUACCUGGUAAAGCUUCCAGGCUCAAGAAUAAUAAGUCAACACUGUAAACAGCACACAGAACCCACGUCCAACCAGCAAGAGUUGCCAGCUUGGCUGAAGCUUGGGGGUGCAGUGGGGGAGGGGAGAAGGUGCUCCUGCGGGUCUACUGGGGGCUCCUUGGGAAAGGUAUCUUCACCCUUGCAGGGGUGCAGCAGGGGUGGGCCUGCUAGACUCUGAGAAACAGCUUUCUAGUUCUCUGUGACCUGAGGACCAGCUGAUUUGAUCACUUCUCAGGGAAGAUUAGCUGCCUCCCAGGGCUGGUGGUCCCAAGGCCAGGCCACCAAGAAGGACUUUUGCCAUUAUCCUACCACCCACAGCUGAGGGGGAGGCAGUGUAUGCUCUUCAAGUCCUGGCCGUAUGCUCCCACUGACGCUAGAAGGCUAGCAUCCUGUUUUCUGCCUCUUGUGAGUCAGAAGAGCUUUCUCAGUGGCUUUAUAAAUCCCAGGCUUCGUUCACGGCCCAGCUUGGACCCCUUCAUAAAGCUUUCUUCGACAUCCAGCCGUUUUCUGAAGUCCAGUGGUAAUAGAUUUCUAUAGCCUGUAAUAAUAAUGGAGAGGAUAUAGUGGCAAUAGUCGUGAUAAUGCCAGCAUUUAUUAAGUGCAGGCUUUGUGCCAAGUUCUCUGCUAAGUCCUCUUUUGUUCUUUCUUUUUUUUGCUUUUUAGGUCAGCACCCGUGGCAUAUGGAAGUUUCCUGGGCUAGGGGGUCGAGUGGGAACUGCAGCGGCUGACCACAGCCACAGCCACAGCAACUCUGGAUCCAACCUGAGCCUGUGACCUACACCACAGCUCACAGCAGUGCCGGAUCCUUAACCCACUGAGGCCAGGGAUUGAACCCGCAUCCUUAUGGAUCCUAGUCAGGUUCAUUAACCGCUGAGCCAAAACAAUCUUUUUGUUUGUUUGUUUGACUUUUUAGGGCUGUACCUGAGGCAUAUGGGAUUGAAUUGGAGCUGUAGCCGCUGGUCUACACCACAGCCACAGCAACACAAGAUCCGACCUGCAUCUGCGACCUACACCAUAGCUCAAGGCAACGCAGCUCAUGGCAAUGCCGGAUCAUUAACCCACUGAGCGAGGCCAGGGAUUGAACCCAUGUCCUCAUGGAUAUUAGUCGGGUUCAUUAACUACCCAGCCACUGAGCAAGUGGAGGCACCCUUUGUUUUUGGUUUCAUGUGUGUUAGUUUUUCUUCCCUCUACUGAGCUCUCUGAGGGGAGGGGUGUUCCACAGUGAGGAGGGGAAGUGUUUGGGGCUCUUCUGGAUAAGAGUUGAUGUAUCCUCACAGCAGUGACGUGAAGGGGUCAGUGUUCUAGCCAUUUUCCCAAUGAGGUUCAGAGAGGCGAAGCAUCUUGCUGACUGAUCUCCAGUCACACAGCUUACAAGUGCCACAGUUGGACAUGGACUAAAGAGUCUCAUGUCUUCUAUAAUCUGGUGGUUGAAUGCACAAUCCUCUUGCCACUUGCCAGGUGUAGAACCUUGGGCUUACCCUGUCUGUGUUUUAGCUUAAUUAUCUGAAAACUGGUAGAGAGAAGUACCUACUCUAAAGUUGUGGUGAGGAACUAAUGAGGCAAAUGCAUGUGUAGAACUUAGAACAGGGUCCCUGGCGCACAGUAAACAAUCUUGGUUAUUACUAUCACGGCUCAAUGAAAUGCAACAGAUUAUUAAUGAGCACCUAUGAUGUGUCUCUGGGCUGGGCACUGUAUUAGGUGCUUCCCUGUUUUAUUCCUCUUCUGCAUUUUCCAUGGUAACCAAAAACAUUAGGCACAUAGUAGCUGAUAAAUAAAUGCUUUCUGCAAUACAGCUGGUGAUGGCUUCCCCAAAGAGCUCUUCUGUCUAUCAUGACAGACAUCUCCAUCUGUCAGUCUUUAUCUUCCUUUUCUCCCUCCUGCACCUGAUUUUGGAAGAACCCAUGGCUGUGUGAUGGUACAAAGACCUUGUUCCGGAGCCAGGUAUCCUGGGUCUGCUUUAGGUUCUACACUGACUUUGAUUUUGUCAAGUUACUUCCACCUUUGCACUUCAGGGGUUUGGCUUAGAUGGUGUCUCAGGCCCCUGCAUGCUUCACUUCUUAGAGAAAGUGAAUGUCAAGGGAGAGGAGACUUGGCCAUGUGCCCUAACUCCUAGCACUUGGAGCUCAACUUUAGAACGUGGCUGCUAUUUCAAAUUGUUUCCAGCUGAGGGAGAGAAUAACUGGGUUAUGAAACCCCUCAGUCAUGGGGGUCAGCCCAUUUGUCUGCUCCUAAUCAUGGCCAUGCCCACACUGGCCACACUCGGCAUGCCCCCUUUCCUUCUGUAAUCCCAGAUCAGAUCAAGGAAAGAUUCUGUGAUUAUGUGUAUGUGCGCUUGUGUGCACAUGUGUGAAGUGGCUACUUUGGGAAAAAAAUAGUGUUACUGAGUUGGCUAUUGGCACCUUUGGCUACAACUAUUGGGAGGAAAGAAAUGCCGGUAAUUAAGCUUGGCUGAACUUGGCUUACUUUGUUCCACCUGUGGCUGCCUUCCAGGCACCCUGCUGUGUAUGUGUGUAGUGUGUGUGUGGUGGGGAGGGGUGUAGUGGAGGAAGACUUCAAACCAUACGCUUCAUCUAAGCAAAUGGAGAAUGCAGCCUGACUCAGUCCAGGAAGUUGGGUAGAAAAAUCAGGGCAGAAAGUUGACACUACUGUUCCUGUCGUGGCUCAAUGGUUAAUGAACCCAACUAGGAUCCACGAGGACGUGGGUUUGAUUCUUGGCCUUGUUCAGUGGGUUAAGGAUCUGUGUUGCUGUGAGCUGUGAUGUAGAUCACAGAUGCGGCUCAGGUCCCACGUUGCUGUGGCUGUGGUAUAGGCAGGCAGCUAUAGCUCCAAUUCGACCCCUAGCCUGGAAACCUCCAUAUGCUGUGGAUGUGGUCCUAAAAAGACAAAUAAAUAAAUAAAUAAAUAAAGAUGACAUUGCUGAGGUGGGGGAGUAAGGGGGUCUCUCCAUUCUAGACUUUAGAGGUUUUCUCUUCAGGUCUGUGGCCAUGGAGAGAGGAUGGAGUCUGAGGCAAAGCUCUCCAGGACCUGUGGGGAGACCCUACACGGCCAAUGCCUAGCUGGCCAGCAGGAAUUGGAAUCACGUGACAGGAAAAGGGAGGGCACCCGCUCCUUCUUAGAUAUUCAGGGUAAAUUAUGUGACCUCCUAACCUCUCUUUCAGCCAGAAAACUGACUUUCAGUUUUCUUGAAUUAUUUCUUACUCUUUGAAUUAGCUGCUAUUAAAUCCUCGGUUGAAAAGGCGAUAGAUGUAUCUGGCCAAGUAUGAGAAGGAUGUGGGAGGAGAAAGUGUCGGGGGGGAGCCCUCCUCCUACCUCGCUGAAGCAGGAGUGGCCCAGGGGCAGCUGGACCCUCUUGUCUCCCCCUCUUGGUUUGUACUUUACUCUAAGACUGCAUAUUCUAAAGAGCACACUGAAAGAGAAAGCUCUUAAGAGUUGCCUUGUCCCUGCCAACAACAUGGUAAUGAGUUGGCAGGGCCAAGUCCUGUUGGGGAAGUCUGUGUGAGGAUGGCUCGAAGUAGGGUCCUGAUGUUCUCCUGUUGAGUGCCCAGAGUACACCUUGUUCCAGCAGGUAGGGCCGGGGCAUGAGCAUUUCUCAUCCUCUGCAGGGAUCAUGGGGCUGCAAGUAAGUAGAGAGAGGCUGAUAAAAUCUGGGAAACUUGUGAACUGGCAAAGGGAGCAUGGGCUAGAGCAUCUGGGGCAGCAGACCUAGGGGCCCCUUCUGAACCAGUACAGACUAACGGGGUCAGCUACGGAACGAGGCUCCAGGGCCCACCUUCCUUCUCUGGGAAACCUUCCAGAAACCCUUGGCACUGCCCUCAGCCCUGGCUUAUCCCCCAAUCUUAGCCCUUCCCGUGUCAUAUGGAAAUGACUUGACACCCCAUCUCCCCAUCUGGACUGAGGGAUCCUUGAGGGGUUGUGUCUUCCUCAUCUUGUACUUCUGUGCCUGGCAGGUAUAAGGGCUGCAAGAAGUUAGUCAAUCAAACUGAAGCAGAACACAGAGCCAGCACAAUACAAAGGCUAUCUUCCUUCCCUUCUGAGUAUUGUCACAAUUGACUUCUGACUCUGAGAACGAAGACCACUCACUCUGAAGAUGUACAAAUUUCCAUUUCAUUUUAGCUUCUGUCCCCUCCAUCUUUCUGCCUCCCACUCCCUUAGUCUCAUGACCUGGGCUCGGGGCCUGAGGCCUAACUGAGCUGAGCACACCUCCACUCCACGUAUAAACUCCAAAGCCAGGUGACCCUUGGGGGAUCCUCCACUCUGGAACGGUGUCCAUGCUGUCUUCCUGGCCUGUAGCACACUUUGCCAAGAGGAGGCUAUGGAGCCCCCCUCCUCCACCCCUCUGUCCCCACUUAAGAACCCCAGCCCAGAUGGAGCAAGGCAGAGCCACUCGGCUAAGAAAUGAUCUCUGCUUCCUGCCAAGGAAGGAAAGCAGGAGCAGGAGUUUCUUCCUUGGGGGCGAAUUAUUUAAUCACUUGUCUUUCCCCUUGAAUCAGUGCAACUAAUGAACAACUUUUGCCUCUUCCUCCUUUCCCCUCUGCCCUACGCCUCUCGCUCAGCCUCUUCUUAUUCAAAUUUCCUCCUCUCUCCUUCUCCUGCCACUGUCAUCAGUAACUUUACCUGGGGAAGCUUGGCUCACAUUGCAACCCAGCUCUCGUCUUCCUCUUCUCAUCAUCUUUCUCCCACCACAGCCUCUCUUCCCCUCUGGGUCACAAUCAGCCUGUUCUGGAGUGAUACCAGCUUUGGGGGACUGAAAUGCCAGUACCUGCCCAUGUCACAUAAAGGGAAGGCCCUCGAGCUACCUCAGAGAGGGAGACUUCAGAAAGGGGAGGGGGGCCUGGGUGAAGGGAGAGGGGAACCGCAGAGUCAUUUGUCAUGGCUAAAUGGAAAUUUAUUGCUAUAACCCCAGGGCUAUGGAAAAGCUUCAGCUAGGCUGGUGAAGGGAACAGGAACUCCAGCAAUUGCUAGAAAAACAAGCUACAGCCCCCAAAUCAAUCUAUUGGCUGGUGAACCUUAGUUUUAAGGUGUGGGGGCCCUGGCGCACUGGCAU